GAGCUCCGGGCUCAAGUGUAGCAACGCCUUCAUCGGAAUAAACAGUAACAGUCCUUUUAGGGACAUUUUGUAUACGAGAUCGUAAUUCUGACAUUACAGUUAUAUAUGGAUCUUUUUCUUCAGCAUAAUCUGGUUUUUCAAGGUCUUCCAUUUUAUCAAGAUCUUCCAUUUCGUUAUCAUCUCCGGUCUUAGCAUCACCUUCUAUUUUACUGGCAUCUUCCAUUUUUUCAUCAAUUGUUUCUAAGGAAUUUUUAUCCUUGGAGGCCGUAUCUUGUUUAUCAUCAGAGUCUUCUGGUAACUCUCUUUUAUUUCUGUAUUUUGCUACAAUGGAUGUCUUUUGGCGACCACGAAUCAGUUUGUCACGAUCCUCCGACAUGAUUCGUCUUUUCUCCUUCUCAAAACGUUCCUCAUUCUCUGCUUUGGCGAUGG